rnacentral:rRNA from 1 species
GACGAACGCUGGCGGCGUGCUUAACACAUGCAAGUCGAGCGGUAAGGCCCUUUCGGGGGUACACGAGCGGCGAACGGGUGAGUAACACGUGGGUGACCUGCCCUCAGCUCUGGGAUAAGCCUGGGGAACCGGGUCUAAUACUGGAUAUGACUCCAUGACGCAUGUUGUGGGGUGGAAAGCCUUGUGCGGCUGAGGAUGGGCCCGCGGCCUAUCAGCUUGUUGGUGGGGUGANGGCCUACCAAGGCGACGACGGGUAGCCGGCCUGAGAGGGCGACCGGCCACACUGGGACUGAGACACGGCCCAGACUCCUACGGGAGGCAGCAGUGGGGAAUCUUGCGCAAUGGGCGAAAGCCUGACGCAGCGACGCCGCGUGAGGGAUGACGG